UCUCUCUCUCUCUCUCUCUCUCUCUCUCUCUCUCUCUCUCUCUCUCUCUCUCUCUCUCUCUCUCUCUCCCCCUGGCUUGUAGUGUUGAAGAUGUGAAGAGGCUCAUAGUGAUAAUCCAGUGGCAACUGUCAAUGACCAGAUAUAGCUAUGAGAUCUGAAGGCUUGUCUAGAGACAUUUUUUUCCUUCUAAGAUAUGCUUAUUGAAUCGUAAAUCACUUUUGUUCCUUAGUUAUUCUAUGGUGUUUUGUCUUCAUUUCUACAUAUCUAUUACUCUCCUCUUUAUUAUGCCCCUUAUUUACCAUUACAUGGAAUUUGUGACUGCAUUUCGUUUUAAACAUUUGCACUAAGUAAUAUGUAUUUCCCAUGUGGUGCAAAUAUCCUUCCCAAGGUGCCCUUGAAAUGCUAAUAAAAUUAAUGUGAUGGAACUUCAGUCAACUGCAAAUAGUAGAGCGUCCUGUAAUGUGGUUAUUUUGACAUUGUCAAUGGCACAGUUAAGAGUUUCAAUUGGUUUGUUUUUCUUUUGGUUUGGUGUGACUAUUUGGCAACUAUUGUAUGAAAUUUUGUUUGCUAGUGCUAGUUUAGAUAUUUAAGGUGUAUGGCUAACUGUAUGAGAUUCCAUAGAUUAAAUUGUGUUUGGUGGUAGAUUAUUAUUGUAGGUUUGAGCAUAUGAGACUUUAAAAAACAACGCUGUACUAAUGAUCAGAUCUAGUGUCUUUUGUUUAUUCUGUGGCUUUCCACGUUCUACUUGUGGUCGUCUGAGUUUAUAUUUCUUGCCUUUUUUAUUUUCUGGGAUUACCUUGUAAUGUAAUCUAACAAAUUUGCUGCCUCAGAAAAUUGGUGCAAUUUUUUAUUAGUCUGGUGAUGGAAACCUCAUUUUUUUUGUUAUGAUUUUUAUAGCACUUUAUAUAAUAAGACUGCAGGAACCUGAAUAGUUUUUGUAACACAGUUUCGUAUUACUUUCAAAGAGCUUUAAAAUUUAAAUCUGGUUUUCAUUUGUGAAGUACAGAACAGUUCUGAACUGUUUGAGUACCUUUGAGCUUACUUGAUGUCUCAAUUUUUUUACUAGAUAUAUGUAUAUAAACUAAAAUCUUUUGAAUAUAUAAGAGCAUAUAUUAAUUUAUAAUUUAUAUAUUAAUUAUUUAAUUUAUAUGUAAUUUAAUGGUGUCAGGCAUUUGAUGUUAAGUUGGUUCAAAAUCCGCCAAUGUCUAUGACCAUGGUUUGUAUUAUGGCUUGUUGUGUAUAAUGGCAUAGUUUUGAAGUGGAUUUUAAAAUUUUCUUUUCAGUGGUCUGGGUUAAUUGCUAAGUGGGACUUUGGUGAACAAUGAUACAUGCAUUGGGCUUGGAGCAGUUUAUGACUGCGGCCAUUGAUGGAAAUGCAACCUAGAAAGCUAUAUAUGACCCCUGUAGAAAUCCUUGCAUUCCUGUGAUACGGGUGUUGCAAUGUUAGGAUGAAAUUUUUAUCUGCUAGUUGUAGGUGUAUGGCUGACUGCAUGAGAUUCCAUAGAAGUAAAUUGUGUUUAUCUGGUAUCAUCGUCCUUUUAUUUGAGAUGGGUAAAUAAACUCCUUUAUUUUCAAAUUGGCUGUUCGGAACACGGUGUUGAUUGAAAAUCUGCUAAUGUUCAUGGCUAUGGUCGUAUUUGUGGCGGGUAAUUUAUAGUGAAUUGGUAUUAAAAUCGAGUGAUGUACAUGCAUGCACUGAGCUCCGAGCUGUGGUUAUUGAUGGAAAUGCAGGCAGCUUAGAAAACUAUAUAUGAGCCUCCUUGAAAUCCUUUUGCUUUUCUGUUCGCAGGUGUUGGAUUUAAAAUGAAAUUUCUGUUUGGGCUAGAUUGGAUUCUUAAGGCUUGGGUAUGUUGGAUUUUCAAGCAGUGAUGAUGUGCUAAUGAUCAGUUGCACUCCUUUGGCCUGAUGAUGGAAAACUCAUUUCUGGGAGCGGUACUAUGGAUUAUUAUAAGUACGAGCCUUUUCUAUCAUUCUUUCCAUGCUAGUCCUCAUCAUCAUCAUCACCACCACCACCAUUCUCUCUCUCUCUCUCUCUCUCUGGCGUGCAUGGCCGAAGAUGUGAAGAGGCUCAUACUGAUAAUCCAGCAGCUAACUGUCAAUGACCAGAUAUAGCUAUGAGAUCUGAAGGCUUGUGCAGAGACAAAUUUUACGUAUGUAGUGAUAACAUCCUCUCUAAGGUGACCUUGCAACAUGGAUUCAAUAAAUUUAUAGUCAACUGGAAAUAGUUGUGGUGUCCUGUGAUGCAGUGAUGAUGCAGGAGCAUCUAUUAGACUUUCCUAAUAUAAGUGGGCAUCAGCCAAAAAGGCUAAGUUUUAGUUAUAUUAAAUUAAUAGGUUAUUUUAUUACCUGUUUUCCUAUUCUUACUAGGAUUUGGGUUUAAUUUCCUGUUUAGGUUUUUAAUUUCCUAUGUCAAUUAGGUUUUCUAUAUUCUAGUAUAAAUAGGCUAUUAAGAGACUGUUGUAUUUAGUUUUGUUGAUGAAUAUAAUUUCAGACUUUAGUCUAUAGAGUUUCUAUUGGGGUUUUGCCCUAGAACUCAAUUAUCUUCGUUCCAACUUCGAUUCUACUGCUUUAUCCUUCUAUUCUCUGUAUUUUGGGUAUGUUUGGGUCACUGGACAGCAGCUUAUAGCCGCUGCGCUGCAUCAAGCGUAGCCAUUUGCCCAGUGAUGCAUACUUGUGUUCUUUGGUGGUUGAUUUGAUUGUCAGUAUGAGCCUUGAUGCUUGUGUUCUUGAGUUGUUGUCGUUGUUGUUGUUGUUGUUGUUGUGGCAAGGCUGUAAAUGAAAAUCAAAGCCCACCAUUAUUGAUACAUUCAGGACAUGAUAAGAUCUGAGGGCUUUUUUUCCUUUCUUUUCUUUUACUUGGGUAAGUGGUGUCGGGGAAAUGGGAAAUUGUCGGUUUACACGUUGAAGGUAUGUUGGCAAAUGUCUUUGUUAUCGGCCUUAUGCUUUGUUGUAUCUAUUCUUCAUCAUGUUGAUUCAUAUGUGAUAACAAGUUUGUUGUAUCUAUAUAAAUUUUCCUUUGGUUUUAAUGUUGAAACUAGCUCUUUCAACAUGACAAUGUGCAGUUUUUUCUCAUUAAUUUUCCUACUUUCUCUUGUUUAGAACUCUGUUAAGUCUGUUAAUUCAUGUGGACUGGAGGAAUUUUAUAGUUGCAGUCUAUGACAACUUGGGUGUCUUUUUUGCUUGUAUUUCCAUUGGCUCUCAUUUUGACAACUAUUUGCUGCCUCUUCCAGCAUUAAAGGUGUAUGCUCUGACUCUCUGGUUAAGAGUCCCUGUAAUGUUUGUGUUCGACUGUGGGCUGUUUAGGUAUUGUUAGGUUACAGUCUCUGUUUUGGCAUUGAGGUUUUUGUAUGCUUGUAGUCCCAGUAAAUUUUGGCCUAUAAGUUGUUUGCUUAAGUACUAGUCCUGGUAGUCUAGCUAGUAUUUUUGCCUCUAGAUUAGACAGUGGAUAACUAGUCCCAAACCCACUGGACUACAACUCAUUGGUCCCAAGGUUAGCUCUAUGAUGGAUGAGCAGCUGCUUGGUUUGAUCUAUCAUUGACCUUUAUAACCCCACAACCCUCUCUUUCCCCUUUCCUCUAUCUAUGUGUGUGUAUGUAUAUAUAUCUUGGUUGUGGGGGACGGCUUUUGGUAGAUCCCAUUAGCAUUAAGCUGUGAAUGAUUUGAUGGAAUCUAUAAGUUCUGAGGGCCUUCUCACACACUAGUUUCUCUAAGAGCUUUCUGUAUUGAAGGUUGCUGAAACUGCUGAGUUCGUGUACCCAAUUUGUUGAUAUGAAAAUAGCCGCAUGUGUGCAUCUGAAUUUGAUUGAUUUUGCACAUCAUGUGGAUUUGGAUUGUUUAGGAUUCGAAAUUCACUCACAAUUGCAAUUUUUUUUCACCUCUGCUGCUGUGUAUCCAUUUCAUUCUCUUUUUUUUUUCUUUGGCUAAUGAAAAUACAUAAUGAAUGUUGAAGCAAAUCCAUUGUUUUCAUAAUUCUUGUUAUCAUGUGGUUUAUAGCACAUUUAUUUCAAUCAGCUGUUUAUGCCUUUUCUGGUUUAUGUGGGUGCUGAAGUUUUGAAAUUUGAACGGUUUUCUGCAAGGAUGUCGAUUUUUAUAUGACAGAGCACCUCCUUGGGUAAUUAUGAGCUGUUUUGUUUGCUCAAUUAUAUUUCAGUUUGUACAGUUGUUCUUGUAAAAGAUAGUCAUCAAUUCAAUUCUCGCUCCCUUUGCAUUCAUUAAUUUAUCCAUUGACCGCAGAGUAUUUACAUAUAUUUUUUGUUAGCUAAAGUAAUUUGCUAUUUCCUUCAUGUAUAAGUUAUUCUAUGUGCUGUAGCUGUAUGGAAAUCAUAUAUGGUUGGUUUCUUUUGGAUAAUGCUUUUGGGCAUUCUCUGAUAAUAUGCCCAAUGAUGCAAAUCCCAUUUCAUGGAGCAGUGCUUCACUUUAAGCCUCCAUUUGUUUCACCACUGUGACCGUCGUCAAUGUCUUCUGCUGCUG